UACGAAGGGGGCUAGCGUUGUUCGGAAUCACUGGGCGUAAAGGGCGCGUAGGCGGCGCGACAAGUUAGGCGUGAAAGCCCCGGGCUCAACCCGGGAAUUGCGCUUGAUACUGUCGUGCUUGAGGCCGGGAGAGGAUGGCGGAAUUCCCAGUGUAGAGGUGAAAUUCGUAGAUAUUGGGAAGAACACCGGUGGCGAAGGCGGCUAUCUGGCCCGUAAUUGACGCUGAGGCGCGAAAGCGUGGGGAGCAAACAGG
rnacentral:rRNA from 1 species